GCCAGGCGCGGUGGUGCAUGCCUGUAAUCCCAGCUACUCUGGAGGCUGAGACGGGAGGAUAGCUUGAGCCCAGGAGGUGGAGGUUGCAGUGAGCCAUGAUCAGGCCACUGCACUGCAGCCUGGACAACAGAGUGAGAUCUUGUCUCUA
rfam:Pan troglodytes isolate Yerkes chimp pedigree #C0471 (Clint) chromosome X, whole genome shotgun sequence.